GAAUGAAUGUGAGAACGAUCCGAAAGAAGGGGAAGUUUGGAUAUGAGAGCUUAUAUGACUCUGUUCCUAAAUAAAUGACGUGGAGGGAAGCGGAAUGGCUGGGAGGAGUUCUGGGAUUAUUCGUGGAAAGUUGAAAUGGAUUGAAGGGGCGAGGCUUUGGGAUCUGUGCAACUAAGAUGGUAUGCUUUGAGAUCUGAGAGACAAAUAUUUGAAGGGAUUUUAUUGUUUUUUGAGAUUAAAAUUGGAUCAUGUGGAAAAAGAGUUGGAACGAGUGGGAAGAAAAUUAGGUGACUGAAUCAGAGGGUCUUGAUUUGCGGGGUGCAU
rnacentral:lncRNA from 1 species